rnacentral:lncRNA from 1 species
GAAAGGAAUAUGCCCUACAAGCCAAUCGAAAUUUGUAUUUUGAUGGGUUUUCCUUGUAAUCUUUCAGACUUAUGUAUUGACUCUUUAAAUAAUAAAAGGCAUUUUCAUCAUAUGUUGCAUCUUACUUUAGUAAUGAUUAUGAUGAACUCCAUAAAUCAGGAAAAUGGGUUUAGGGUUAUGAUGAGAUCAUACCUAUGAGA